rnacentral:rRNA from 1 species
UACGUAGGGUGCGAGCGUUAAUCGGAAUUACUGGGCGUAAAGCGUGCGCAGGCGGUUAUGUAAGACAGAUGUGAAAUGCCCCGGGCUUAACCUGGGAACUGCAUUGGUGACUGCAUCGCUCGAGUAUGGCAGAGGGGGGUAGAAUUCCACGUGUAGCAGUGAAAUGCGUAGAGAUGUGGAGGAAUACCGAUGGCGAAGGCAGCCCCCCUGGGUCAAUACUGACGCUCAUGCACGAAAGCGUGGGGAGCAAACAGG